rnacentral:rRNA from 1 species
UACGUAGGGUGCAAGCGUUAUCCGGAAUUAUUGGGCGUAAAGAGCUCGUAGGCGGUUUGUCGCGUCUGCUGUGAAAACUGGAGGCUCAACCUCCAGCCUGCAGUGGGUACGGGCAGACUAGAGUGCGGUAGGGAGAUUGGAAUUCCUGGUGUAGCGGUGAAAUGCGCAGAUAUCAGGAGGAACACCAAUUGCGAAGGCAGCUCGCUGGACGUACUGACGCUGAGACGCGAAAGCGUGGGGAGCAAACAGG